rnacentral:rRNA from 1 species
CACGUAGGGUGCGAGCGUUUGUCCGGAAUUAUUGGGCGUAAAGAGCUCGUAGGCGGUCCGUCACGGUCGGAAUGUGAAAUUCCAGGCUCAACCCUGGACCUGCAUUCGGAUACGGCGGACUAGAGUUCGGGUAGGGAGACUGGAAUUCCUGGUGUAGCGGUGAAAUGUGUAGAGAUCGGGAGGAACACCGGUGGCGAAGGCGGGUCUCUGGGCAUCUCCUGACGCUGAGGCGCGAAAGCGUGGGGAGCAAACGGG